UUGAACGCUGGCGGCAGGCCUAACACAUGCAAGUCGAGCGGAUGAAGGGAGCUUGCUCCUGGAUUCAGCGGCGGACGGGUGAGUAAUGCCUAGGAAUCUGCCUGGCAGUGGGGGAUAACGUCCGGAAACGGGCGCUAAUACCGCAUACGUCCCGAGGGAGAAAGUGGGGGAUCUUCGGACCUCACGCUAUCAGAUGAGCCUAGGUCGGAUUAGCUAGUUGCUGGGGUAAAGUCCUACCAAGGCGACGUUCCGUAACUGGUCUGAGAGGAUGAUCAGUCACACUGGAACUGAGAAACGGUACAGACUCCUACGGUAGGCAGCAGUGGGGAAUAUUGGACAAUGGGCGGAAGCCUGAUCCAGCCAUGCCGCGUGUGUGAAGAAGGUCUUCGGAUUGUAAAGCACUUUAAGUUGGGAGGAAGGGCAGUAAGUUAAUACCUUGCUGUUUUGACGUUACCAACAGAAUAAGCACCGGCUAACUUCGUG
rnacentral:rRNA from 1 species